UGCGUAGGUGGCGGGGUAAGUCUGGUGUGAAAUCUCGGGGCUCAACCCCGAAACUGCACUGGAUACUGCCUUGCUCGAGUACUGGAGGGGAGAUUGGAAUUUACGGUGUAGCAGUGAAAUGCGUAGAUAUCGUAAGGAAGACCAGUGGCGAAGGCGAAUCUCUGGACAGUUACUGACACUGAGGCACGAAGGCCAGGGAGGCAAACG
rnacentral:rRNA from 1 species